GAUGAACGCUAGCGGCAGGCCUAAUACAUGCAAGUCGAGGGGUAGAAGAGGCUUGCUUCUUUGAGACCGGCGCACGGGUGCGUAACGCGUAUGCAACCUACCUUCAUCUGGGGGAUAGCCCGGAGAAAUCCGGAUUAAUACCGCAUAAAAUCACAGGAUGGCAUUAUCCAAUGAUCAAACAUUCAUGGGAUGGAGAUGGGCAUGCGUGUCAUUAGCUAGUUGGCGGGGUAACGGCCCACCAAGGCGACGAUGACUAGGGGAUCUGAGAGGAUGGCCCCCCACACUGGUACUGAGACACGGACCAGACUCCUACGGGAGGCAGCAGUAAGGAAUAUUGGUCAAUGGAGGCAACUCUGAACCAGCCAUGCCGCGUGCAGGAAGACUGCCCUAUGGGUUGUAAACUGCUUUUAUUCGGGAAUAAACCUUAUUACGUGUAAUAAGCUGAAUGUACCGAAGGAAUAAGGAUCGGCUAACUCCGUACCAGCCGCCGCAGUAA
rnacentral:rRNA from 1 species